AUGGUGGUUGGUGGAAAGCUUUUGUGGUUUUGGAUGGACUCGCGGCCUAUCAGCUUGUUGGUGAGGUAAUGGCUCACCAAGGCGACGACGGGUAGCCGGCCUGAGAGGGUGACCGGCCACACUGGGACUGAGACACGGCCCAGACUCCUACGGGAGGCAGCAGUGGGGAAUAUUGCACAAUGGGCGCAAGCCUGAUGCAGCGACGCCGCGUGAGGGAUGACGGCCUUUCGGGUUGUAAACCUCUUUCAGUAGGGAAGAAGCGAAAGUGACGGUACCUGCAGAAGAAGCGCCGGCUAACUACGUGCCAGCAGCCGCGGUAAUACGUAGGGCGCAAGCGUUAUCCGGAAUUAUUGGGCGUAAAGAGCUCGUAGGCGGUUUGUCGCGUCUGCCGUGAAAGUCCGGGGCUCAACUCCGGAUCUGCGGUGGGUACGGGCAGACUAGAGUGAUGUAGGGGAGACUGGAAUUCCUGGUGUAGCGGUGAAAUGCGCAGAUAUCAGGAGGAACACCGAUGGCGAAGGCAGGUCUCUGGGCAUUAACUGACGCUGAGGAGCGAAAGCAUGGGGAGCGAACAGGAUUAGAUACCCUGGUAGUCCAUGCCGUACACGUUGGGCACUAGGUGUGGGGGACAUUCCACGUUUUCCGCGCCGUAGCUAACGCAUUAAGUGCCCCGCCUGGGGAGUACGGCCGCAAGGCUAAAACUCAAAGGAAUUGACGGGGGCCCGCACAAGCGGCGGAGCAUGCGGAUUAAUUCGAUGCAACGCGAAGAACCUUACCAAGGCUUGACAUGAACCGGAAAGACCUGGAAACAGGUGCCCCGCUUGCGGUCGGUUUACAGGUGGUGCAUGGUUGUCGUCAGCUCGUGUCGUGAGAUGUUGGGUUAAGUCCCGCAACGAGCGCAACCCUCGUUCUAUGUUGCCAGCACGUGAUGGUGGGGACUCAUAGGAGACUGCCGGGGUCAACUCGGAGGAAGGUGGGGACGACGUCAAAUCAUCAUGCCCCUUAUGUCUUGGGCUUCACGCAUGCUACAAUGGCCGGUACAAAGGGUUGCGAUACUGUGAGGUGGAGCUAAUCCCAAAAAGCCGGUCUCAGUUCGGAUUGGGGUCUGCAA
rnacentral:rRNA from 1 species